UACGAAGGGGGCUAGCGUUGCUCGGAAUCACUGGGCGUAAAGCGCACGUAGGCGGAUCGUUAAGUCAGGGGUGAAAUCCUGGAGCUCAAAUCCAGAACUGCCCUUGAUACUGGCGAUCUCGAGUUCGAGAGAGGUUGGUGGAACUCCGAGUGUAGAGGUGAAAUUCGUAGAUAUUCGGAAGAACACCAGUGGCGAAGGCGGCCAACUGGCUCGAUACUGACGCUGAGGUGCGAAAGCGUGGGGAGCAAACAGG
rnacentral:rRNA from 1 species